rnacentral:lncRNA from 1 species
ACAAACAAUCCAAAAUAGCAUGUGUGCCCAACAAUAUAUUCCAUUCAUGACCAAAUACACAAGUUCACAAGUCACACAUCAACAUCUUUGUUACAUUCAUCGCAAACACCAAAGUAAUUGUUCAAGAAUUGACCUUAGUCACAAAGGUAUCUUAGAUAAAAUAAACAGAUGGAUAUUUCACAUCCCUGUCUCACAAGUGACCUUUGUCACCAAACUAAUAGUCCUAACAGACAGUGCUAGCAGCUAAUUAUUCUUGGUGCCAGGAGCAAAUAACUGAAGUUGCUGAAUCUCUCCAUAUCCUGCAAAUGCACAACACAUUAGAAACAGCCAUCACUUGUUGAAACAAAUAAAAUUAUCAAUAAAGAAUGUUACAUGUGUACUGCUGGAAGAAAUCAAGCAACAACAAUCUUUUCCACUUUAACAUAUAUUUGAGCAUUUAUAAGAAAUACACUAAUUCACACUGAACAUUCUCACACCAAGAAUAAAGUUCAAAUUGCUCUAGUCAAUACUGAAAACUUAGUACAUAUUGACACAGUCACAACUACAAAUGCAAAUACUGAAUUGCUAAAAAUUGUAAAGCAUAGGAUAGGUGAGCUGAGCUGUUGCCAACAGCCUGCCAACUGCAUAAAUGUGAUUGAACAUGCUUCAUGAAACUACAUGAUGCAAUGGCGUGCUCAGUUAAGAUGCAUUCGUAACUAUAUUAUCUAAACUCUAAAUUAGCAUGCUAAGUGACAUGAUGCAGUAAAGUAUUUUCUAGGCUGCUCACUUGGUAUUCUUGUUGACAGCUUCAGUUGGCAAAGGGGAAGUGUAAGAGCGAGUACCAGCAGCAGCCUCUGAUUAUUAGUAGUUGAUCAUGUGCAGAGAAGCAAAUGAUAAGUUCCUAGACAGUUAUUAUUAGCCUCACAUUGCUCUACUGUCUAGCAUUUUAGUUGCUGCACAGAACAUUGACAAACACUCUGCUGUUAUCACAGAGCCACUACUGAACAUAUUUUUCGAUACUAAAAACAACUUUGCUGUUUAUGCAUGAAACAAUAUUUCAUAGUGAAGUUUCCUAUUUGCUCUAAAAUAAAAGUCAGGGGCUGUCGUAAGUUAACAACCUAGAGCUGUUGUGAGGAAAGCUCUUAAUUUUUCUCAGACCAUCUCGUGAAAAUCCUUGCAUUAAUCUUUAUAUACUCCUAAUCUUAUUUCUUUUUGAAAUACUAUUAACACUAUCGCUAGGAAGUAGUUGAACAAAUAUUACAAUCUGCAUAAUCUUAGUAUAAUUUGUUUCAAGCCACAUUAAUGACCAUGACAAUGAUAUGAUUGAUGACUAUGAGCGAUAAAGCAAACAUUGGGUAGUGUUUUCGUGAAUGAAACAAAUGUCACAUGAAAAAUUACUUUAUAUCUGACAGUGUUCUCUGAGGAUUUGGUUUUCUAGAACGCCAUAUCUAUAAAUCGACAACCCAACAAGAAAUAGGAAGGCCACACCUUCUAGAAUCCCUGCUAUGAUGGCUUCUUUCUAGCUUUGAUUUCCCUGCAAGCAAUCAUGUAUUGAGAACUCUGAACUAAAAAUAAAAUAGGACUGGAGAUAAAUUAAAUCCAAACACAAGCUAAUUUGGAGCAAAACCAAACUCUGAAGCAAAUAAAGGGAUAUUAACUUCCCAAAAUAAUAAAAAAACUCAAAAUUGGAUUUUAUGAAACAUACACAGAUACGAUAAAAGAAAUUUUAGGCAUAUCAAUAAAAAUAUUUGUUUGAGCAAUAUGGUCUUGUUCUGCACAUGCUAAAAUUAGGAACUUUCUCAAGCACCACGUCGUAACAUAUGAAAUUCUAGGCACGUAAAUAGAAAUAUUAAUGUUGGUUGUAGAGGGAUAUUGUGAGUGCACAUCAAUGGAUAAUGUGUGUGAGUUAUCAUGUUUCAUUUUUCAUCUCUAACUGUAGAUUAAGCUUGCUACUACUGUCAAUAUUAAAAAAAUCAGCAGGCCACCUUGUUCUCAUGGCUAUUCAAGAUUACAGAAUUGGUACAGAGAAAGACGAUGAUAUAGCAGUCUGGUGAAGCACCUUAAUGUGGAGAAAGUUGUUUUCGAAUCAGCCAUAUAUGUUUUAUGUUUAGAACUCAUUAUGGACAAACGAGAAACAAAUUUUUUUUUUCAUCUUCAGACCUUCAGAAAACUUACCAAAAUUCACAUGCAUUGUGAAUUGAUGGGCUUCAUCAACUCUUCUAUUUGUAAAUAUCCACUCUGACCCAUCCUGCAAUAACACGGAAAGACAAAAAACUAUCACAUUUUUUCCCCAAAGACUAAAAAUACUAUUGUUAUCCGCCCUGCUAACAGCUGAAUUCAACAACUACAGAUGGGGCUCCAUCUAGACCAAACCACAAAGGUUAUGGUCGAAGGAUAGACCAUACCCAAAUAUGUAAGUAAAAGGCAAAAUCAAACAACAAUUGCAGUAUCAUAAAACAAAUCACCUUAUCACGAAGUUAGGGUUUGGGGAAGCUGCAGGAUUUAGAAGGUAGGGAUUGGGGAACGGGGAAGGGAAUAGAAAGUGACAAUGGAGAAAGUACUGAAGUGCCUUUGAUCUGACUAAGCCUAUUCUAGAAUGUGUGAGCAAAAGGAUCAUUUUACACCUAAAAUUUUGAUCUGGCGGGGGAUGCACGUGCUCACAGCGAAUUCCAUUCGCGCUCAGUAAUCUCACUCCAAAUUCAAUUCAGAGUAUAGCUACACGGAGGCUACAAAGAGUUGCUCACAUCAAAGCUCAGAGUUCCAGGAGAGUUGCUCACCUUGCAGCUGUGCCACCCAGGCCGGAUCCGUCGGACUGGAUCCGCCGGACUAGGAGCGGAGAGGCCGCCAGGAGGGGGAGAUGGGAGAGGCCAAGAGGGAGUGGGCGACGAAGAGCUGGUAUACGCUGCAGCACCACCGGAGGCCAGAUCCAGACGACGCGGGCAGCCUCUCGCCACGAGCGCGAGGAACCGCGGACGGGAUUUCGGCGAGCCGCCGCAAUGGUUCUCUCGGUAGAUGGUAGAUGACGAGCAGACUUCUGUAUUUGGUUGGGUCUUUGUUUUUUACCUCGCCGAGCCCUUGCUUCUUGUUAACAAAGUUCAAUACACCAGCAUAAACGUCGUUGUAUUGUAGUGGAUUGUCUGUAGCCUUUGAACCUUUGGGUCACGAGUUCGAACUUUGAUGCUCACCCAUUUUUUUAUAAUAAUUCCUGCGCUUGUUCUGCUGGCAGGUUGGGGCAUGCAUAUUUUUUAAAAAAUAAUUCCUGUUCUGCUGGCAGGUUGGGGGUGGCGCAUGUUGGGAAGUUUAAUUAAAUAGAAUAGGUUAAAAACCAGAGCAAAAAAGAAAAAAGAAAAUAAGCACAUAUGACCCAGAUGAAGACAAUACUAAUAUUUUAAAAAUUAGAAGAUAUGAAAAAUCAUUCCUGUCAUAUAAAAUACUUUUUGACACCAUUAUCCUUUAUACAUUUAUGACCACCGCAAUUAGUGGUUUUGACAUAAACAAAAAUGUCACC